rnacentral:rRNA from 1 species
CUCACUGGUCGAGUCGGCCUGCGCGGAAGAUGUAACGGGGCUAAACCAUGCACCGAAGCUGCGGCAGCGACGCUUAUGCGUUGUUGGGUAGGGGAGCGUUCUGUAAGCCUGUGAAGGUGUACUGUGAGGUAUGCUGGAGGUAUCAGAAGUGCGAAUGCUGACAUAAGUAACGAUAAAGCGGGUGAAAAGCCCGCUCGCCGGAAGACCAAGGGUUCCUGUCCAACGUUAAUCGGGGCAGGGUGAGUCGACCCCUAAGGCGAGGCCGAAAGGCGUAGUCGAUGGGAAACAGGUUAAUAUUCCUGUACUUGGUGUUACUGCGAAGGGGGGACGGAGAAGGCUAUGUUGGCCGGGCGACGGUUGUCCCGGUUUAAGCGUGUAGGCUGGUUUUCCAGGCAAAUCCGGAAAAUCAAGGCUGAGGCGUGAUGACGAGGCACUACGGUGCUGAAGCAACAAAUGCCCUGCUUCCAGGAAAAGCCUCUAAGCAUCAGGUAACAUCAAAUCGUACCCCAAACCGACACAGGUGGUCAGGUAGAGAAUACCAAGGCGCUUGAGAGAACUCGGGUGAAGGAACUAGGCAAAAUGGUGCCGUAACUUCGGGAGAAGGC